UACGUAGGGGGCGAGCGUUGUCCGGAUUUAUUGGGCGUAAAGAGCGUGUAGGCGGCCAGGUAGGUCUGCUGUCAAAGACCGGGGCUUAACUUCGGAAAGGCAGUGGAAACUGAACAGCUAGAGUAUGGUAGGGGCAGAGGGAAUUCCUGGUGUAGCGGUGAAAUGCGUAGAGAUCAGGAAGAACAUCGGUGGCGAAGGCGCUCUGCUGGACCAUAACUGACACUCAGGGACGAAAGCUAGGGGAGCGAAUGGG
rnacentral:rRNA from 1 species